rnacentral:lncRNA from 1 species
ACAAUGUGAGAUGCCCAGGAAGCUUUGCUGUAAUCCUGAAUCUUUAGACUUUUCUAGGAGACUUGGGCAUCACAAGAUCAAAACAGAGACCUUCACACUCAAGUUUUUAAGACAGAGAAAAGUUCCUUGAGCAAAUGCAAGAAACACCAAAAACAAUCCAUUGAUACACUUGGUGACAUUAAUUGAGAAAAAAACAAUAUGGUCUGGCCAUGGAGGCAUGGUAUCCGUAACAUCCCCCAAAGGAGCUAAAGAAGAAAUCCACAAUUUACCAUGAGCAUUUCUCGUCUGAAGAUUGCCAAGCGAUUCCUCCAGGACAUUCCUCAAGAUCAAUUUCUGUUCAUCCACCUUGUCCUGGGAGGGACAUCAAUGGGUUUCCAUGUCCUUUGGCUUCUGGUUGAGUUCACUCAGUGGAGAACCCUGGCAAGAGGCAGGAAAAGGGGAGGAAGGUGAAAACCAUCCAUUUCUUGGAGAAGUGCCACGGUGGGGUUGCAAGUCCCAGGAUCAAGUUUUCGAUGUGUCUCUUUUUCCCGUAAAGUGGCUGAAAUCUGAAGCUGAAUCUGCAAGUGUCAUGGAGUCAUUGAAUCUCACAGUCUCAACUGAUAAAAGUUAUUAAAGGUAAAAAUGGUGCUACCCUUGGAAAUCCAAGAGCAGCUUCAAGAGUCAACUAUACCAGCAAUCCCUAAAGCUGGAGAAUUUAUGCCCAUGGAAAAGUCUGUAGCGUUUUGCAAACUGU